AUAGGUUCACUAACGGCGUGAUUAAAAAGGGAAUCAGGUGAAAGUCCUGAACAGUCCCGCUGCUGUAAGCCGCCAUUUGCGAGGCGAACACGAUGCCACUGGAACGCUGUUCCGGGAAGGCCGUUCGCUGCCGGGCGGACAAGUCAGAAGACCUGCCAUUGCGAA
rnacentral:ncRNA from 1 species